UUGUAGUUUCACAGUUUUAUAUGGGUCGUCUAUUGCAGUUUAUUUUCUUAUUGUACUUUAAUGUUAGACUUAAUCUGGUUUAUGGGUUAAUUUUACUCAGCUUAAUAUGUAGUUGAAACAACCCAGAAUUGUAAUUAAUUUGACCCAACGUUUUGGGUAGAAUAUUUAACUCAUCUGUUGGGUUAAAAAUGAUCAACUCGUCUUGCUGGGUCAAAUUACUGUUGGUCUGGUGCAAUAGUGAUCCAGUGAGUUGGGUAAUAGAACAACCCAAGUUGGGUUAUUUUUAACCCAUUGUUCUGUGUGUAUGGUGCAUUGUCCGUUACUUUUUAGAAAAUUUAUAAAUUUUGACUGAAGUGCAGCCUAACCUGUUUGCAGCAGCGACGCAUUGUAGGAUUGGUGGAUGCUGACCACUGUAAACACGAAGACGCACUGUGGACGUGUUUUCGUUUAUUCAAGUAUGUGCGGCAGUCAUGGCGAGUCAAGGCGAGAGCAACACGAGUUUCUCAAAGUGGAAGUAUGCUCAUUAUUUCACUUUAGUUGAGCAUAAAGACAAACAUUUUAGUCAAAUGUAAGCUGUGUCUUUCUGGUUCGAAUGUCCUAUCCUUCGAAUUUCCAAUCCGUGCGCUCAGAUUUUGUAAACCAUACCCUCGGCUUUUGAAUCUUUACCCACAAAUUCAUAAUCUGCGCGCACACUUUCGCAAUCCGUUCCCAUGGAUUUGUAAACUGUAGCCGAAUGCAGCUCGAGCUCGAGGCCGUGGAGGAGCAGAUUCGUGACCUGGAGGAGAGGCAGGUCCAGCUGAGAGAGCGGAGAGCCGCGCUGGAAUCAUCCCGGGCUGACGCUCACAAGUCCGGGGUAAGUAUACAGCGUGCUGCUAACAGUCCCACCACGUCUACUCCGUGUGUUUCUCUGCACAGGCCCGGUGCACCCAGGACGCGAUCUUCCCAGAUGUCCUUCACUCCGACGCCGGGAACGGAUUGUGAAAAACAGAAACUGCUAUUUGUUAAUAACUGGAAUCUUUUCUGGGAGCAUCCUAGACUGUUUCGCGCUGAUGGAUUACACCCCAGCAGAGUCGGAGCGGAGCUGCUUUCUGACAACAUCUCCAGGACACUUCGCUCCAUGUGACUAUGAGGUACCUAACUAGCCUUCUACCACGCCACAACCCUUCACACUCCCUAAGGUCACAAAACGCUGGACUUUUGGUCGUUCCUAGGAUAGCAAAGUCAACUAAAGGAGGAUUUACACAAGCUCCAUUCUGGAUCCAGAACACCUUACAACCGAAUCAGGAAAAACUGCCUUUUCUUAUUUAGCACCUUGGGGGUGGAAUAAUCUACAAAAAGAGCUAAAGUUAGAAACCUUUAUUUCCAUAAAUGAAUUUAAAACUACUGUAAAGAGUGUUGUGAUGAGACAUGUUCUUGUUUUUCUUAAGAGUCUCAUUGUGUUAUAUAUUUUUUAAUAUUUUGUUCUUCUUUUAUCGUGAAAAUGUAAUUUGGUGUUAUGUAUGCAUCUGUUGUGAUUUGGCUGCUACCUUGAAAUGAA